UACGGGGGGGGCAAGCGUUGUUCGGAAUUACUGGGCGUAAAGGGCUCGUAGGUGGCCAACUAAGUCAGACGUGAAAUCCCCCGGCUUAACCUGGGAACUGCGUCUGAUACUGGAAGGCUUGAGGAUGGGAGAGGGAUGCGGAAUUCCAGGUGUAGCGGUGAAAUGCGUAGAUAUCUGGAGGAAUACCGGUGGCGAAGGCGGCAUCCUGGACCGACAUUGACGCUGAGGAGCGAAAGCUAGGGGAGCAAACGGG
rnacentral:rRNA from 1 species